rnacentral:rRNA from 1 species
GAUGAACGCUAGCGGCAGGCCUAACACAUGCAAGUCGAGGGGUAACUAGAGUGAUAGCAUUAUUACUUUGGCUAGACCGGCGCACGGGUGCGUAACACGUAUGCAACCUACCUUAUACUGGGGAAUAACUUCGAGAAAUCGGCGCUAAUACCCCAUAACAUUGCGAAGAGGCAUCUCUUUGCAAUUAAAGCUCCGGCGGUAUAAGAUGGGCAUGCGUCCAAUUAGCUAGUUGGUGAGGUAACGGCUCACCAAGGCUACGAUUGGUAGGGGUUCUGAGAGGAUGAUCCCCCACACUGGUACUGAGACACAGACCAGACUCCUACGGGAGGCAGCAGUAGGGAAUAUUGGUCAAUGGAGGCAACUCUGAACCAGCCAUGCCGCGUGCAGGAUGACGGCCCUCUGGGUUGUAAACUGCUUUUAUACGGAGCGAAAAGGCUCUCUCUAAUACAGGGGGCUGAUGACGGUACCGUAAGAAUAAGCACCGGCUAACUACGUGCCAGCCGCCGCGGUAAUAC